GACGAACGCUGGCGGCGUGCUUAACACAUGCAAGUCGAACGGAAAGGCCCUGCUUUUGUGGGGUGCUCGAGUGGCGAACGGGUGAGUAACACGUGAGUAACCUGCCCUUGACUUUGGGAUAACUUCAGGAAACUGGGGCUAAUACCGGAUAGGAGCUCCUGCUGCAUGGUGGGGGUUGGAAAGUUUCGGCGGUUGGGGAUGGACUCGCGGCUUAUCAGCUUGUUGGUGGGGUAGUGGCUUACCAAGGCUUUGACGGGUAGCCGGCCUGAGAGGGUGACCGGCCACAGUGGGACUGAGAUACGGCCCAGACUCCAACGGGAGGCAGCAGUGGGGAAGAUUGCACAAUGGGCGGAAGCCUGAUGCAGCAACGCCGCGUGCGGGAUGACGGCCUUCGGGUUGUAAACCGCUUUCGCCUGUGACGAAGCGUGAGUGACGGUAAUGGGUAAAGAAGCACCGGCUAACUACGUG
rnacentral:rRNA from 1 species